UUCUUUUUAAGUUCACCCCCUCCCUCUUUUGUGUCUUAUAUAUCACAGUUGUUUUGUUCUACUUGAAUGCUUGCUUUCGAAUCUGACUAAAAUAGUGUUGGAAUGGCUACUGCGGUGAGUUUAAGGAAGAGUACUGAAUGAAACAAACCAUGCUUCUAAAAGAAGAGCCCAGCUUGACUAUAAGAAGUAGGAAAACUCUCGGAUCUGUCGGCUGUCUGGUACGAGGUCCACGGAGUGGGACUCCUGCGGGUUUUGACUUUUGAUACGUGGGUGGAUGUUGCUUCUUACUCAUCCAACCAAAGUAUUCAAAUCAAGACCAGUUUUUUGAAGCAGAUGCUUCUAAGGCAUUAGGCAGACUUAGAAGGUGUGAUUAAGCCUAUUAUGAUUGCUUCUCUUUUUACUUCAAUCUCCUUACAUGAUCAGGAAAAGUUUUGUUUGUUUGUUUAAUUUUUCAAGAGAGCAAAUAUGUCAAUAAA